UCUUGCACCCAGCUACCAGCAGCCACUCACCCUCCCCACCCAUGCUGAGGCGUUAUGAUAGCAUAACAUAAUGACCGGACUUGGAAGCUCUUUGCCCUGAGAAGGUUACUCAGAGGUGAAUUCUCUCAAUCAUUUUUCCUCAGGUAGCUUGCCUGGAGGAGAAGGGCCUUUGUUCCCUAUGGAGCCAGUAUGUGAUCUGGAAAAGACUUUGGACUCCACUUUGUAGGGGAUGAAACUAAGGCCAAAAGUGAGUUAAGUAAAUUGAGUUAGGUCCGCUCGUGCAGUCCAUUAGUGGCAAAGUUGAACUGCAGUUGUUACCAAUGCCAGCAGCAUCUCAGACCCAAAGGAUCACCCCAUCUUCACUCUGUCUUGGGUGGCAUUCACUUGAGCAGCCACUCAAGACCUCCUCUCUGAAAAGCAAGGCAUCAGUCUCUGGUCAGAGUUUUCGGAAGAUUUCAGGAUGGUCCCCAGGAGCAGUCAGAGUGGCCCAAUAGGAGCCUUCUGCCAUAGGAAUGCUGAUUCUAAUUUGAAUAUCUCUAAUGCUGGAACUACUGGAGCAUGAAGCAGGAUCAGGUGUCUCCUUGUCAACAUAGAUGUUCAUGCUCAUAGAUGCUCUGCCUCCUCUCCUGCAGCACUCACAGUUUCUGCUCAGAGCUGAGCUUUAAAGGAAUGCUUCCUAACUACAGCUGCAAACAGAGGGGCUGACAGUGAGAAACAAUAUGACUAGAUGCCUGAAGACACUGUGUGUGUGUGUGUGUGUGUGUGUGUGUGUGUGUGUGUGUGUGUGUCUGUUUGUCUGUCAUAGCCAGCCAAAUUGGUGGUGCAUACGUAUAAUCCCAGCACUGAGAAAGCUGAGGCAGAAGGAUCUUGAGUUUAGGCCAGGCUGCAAAACAAGGCACUGUCUCACAAAAUAAACACACAAACACACACACACACACAGGCACACACACACACACACACACACACACACACACACACACACACACACACACAAGGUGCGGGAGAGGGGAACCAUCUCAGGUCUUACAAAUGGAGAAAACUUUCAAGAAGCACAGUUUAACACUGUUCUAAUCAGCUAUCUCUUUGCUCCAGCCCUUUCUUUCCCGAGUAAGCUUUAUUGUGAAAGAAAUCUGUGGGUACCCACCACCUCCUUUUCUUUCUUUGAAGGACUCUGGCAUUGGCCCCACUGGACUGCCCAUGCCACUACACAAGAACUGGCCUUCCAGCAACUCCUUUUGAGACUUCACUGGAAACAGGCCAGGGCUCAGAACACCAUUGUACAGCUUUCUGUGCUCUCCUGACUCAAUGUGGAGUUCCUCCCUCAGCCUCUCAUGGCUGGCAUCUUCAUGCACUCAUUUUGGAGAAAGCCUCGGUCAAGGAGUGGAAUUGUCGAAAAAUACUCCAACAUCCCAUCUUCAAGUGGACCAACUCACUCUUGACCGCCUGAAAUUUCCCCAGAGAUUAAAUGGCAGCUGUCCCUAAGGAAAGCUUACUUGGUAAUCCCCAACCCCCUUCCUUGGCUUCUCUAGUCUCCUCUGCUUUCUCAGUUGCCUAUCACCUUUUCUUGGGAUUGCCUCCCAAAUAAACAGUUUGUAUUCAAAACAACGUUUCAAGAUGUGAUUUUUAAAGGGCGCUAAAAGAGACCACUGAAUUCCUCCCCUGAAAGUGAGUCCUUCUGGAGGCUGUGAAGCAGAGCCAUUGGCUGAUCACAAGGAAGUUGGUGGAUGGAGCAGCUCCGAGAAGCCUGGGGCCUUACCUGCAGGAACCAUCACAACAGACAGCUCUAAUGAGCACGGCACUGUGGAAGCAGACAUCUGGUCUACCACACUGCUGGGAUAGACCGCUGAAAGGCA